rnacentral:lncRNA from 1 species
GGACACUCAUGUGGAGAUUGUCGCAUUUUGGAUUAGUGGCAAUGGGGAGGUGGUGGCUGUGGAGGAUGGCUAAGAAGCGAUUGAAACUGGUUACAAGAUGUUUGGUGAUGAGAAAGGGAGAGUUACAGAAGUGGUUGGGGUAGAGAGAUGGGACCAAAGAGGAGUUGUACUAGAGUCGUUGAUAGAUGAGGCUAAGAGAGUGAGAGGGUCUUUUGGAAUGAAGACGAAGUUGUGAUGUAUGUUUUGCACCAUAGAGGGCUAGACAUGUUAUUGUUGUUGACGCCGAGCUCAUAGAGGUAGCGAAGGUUGGUGAGGUUGAGGAUAGUAUUGUUGAAAUUUUAGCAUGGAAGAGGGUUUAGUUAAGGAGAUAGUUGAUGUGAGGAUCAGUGCGGGUGCGUGUUUAGUUCUAAAUCGAUUAUUCGCUGAAUAAAUUUGGGUAUUUAUAUAGGAUCAAGAAAUUCAAAUAAUAUCUUUCGACUAGUUAUUUUGGAUGAGAUUUUAGAUUGUUACCAAUGGAAUUGAGUUCAAAAAAAUAUUAUAGGGCCGGAGGGGAUGGUCUUCUUGAAGCCUUGGGUAGGCAUAGUAUUGCCAUGAGAUUGGGGAAGUUAGAUGGUUGGGGUUCUGGAGCCUUGUUUCUUCUUCAUUUUCUCUUUCCGCGGCCGCCCAUCAUUGCAUGCUGCCGCUAAUCGAUUGCCGGUCCCCCAACUUCCACCCACCACCACCAUGGUUCUCGGGAGCUCUCCUUUCUCCCAUUUCCUCUCCAUCUUCUUCCCUCGACUAAACUAUAUUAGGAGCCCUAUUCUUUUCUCUCUGUUUUCUGUCUCCGACUCUCUCAUUUUCUCUCUCUCUCUCAACCAUUCUCUCUCUCUCUCUCUCUCUCUCUCUCUNN